AGAGCGAACGCUGGCGGCAGGCUUAACACAUGCAAGUCGAGCGGGCGUAGCAAUACGUCAGCGGCAGACGGGUGAGUAACGCGUGGGAACGUACCUUUUGGUUCGGAACAACCCAGGGAAACUUGGGCUAAUACCGGAUAAGCCCUUACGGGGAAAGAUUUAUCGCCGAAAGAUCGGCCCGCGUCUGAUUAGCUAGUUGGUGAGGUAAUGGCUCACCAAGGCGACGAUCAGUAGCUGGUCUGAGAGGAUGAUCAGCCACAUUGGGACUGAGACACGGCCCAAACUCCUACGGGAGGCAGCAGUGGGAAUAUUGGACAAUGGGCGCAAGCCUGAUCCAGCCAUGCCGCGUGAGUGAUGAAGGCCCUAGGGUUGUAAAGCUCUUUUGUGCGGGAAGAUAAUGACGGUACCGCGAAGAAUAACGCCCGGACUAACUUCGUGCCAGCAGCCGC
rnacentral:rRNA from 1 species